rnacentral:rRNA from 1 species
UACGAAGGGGGCUAGCGUUGCUCGGAAUCACUGGGCGUAAAGGGUGCGUAGGCGGCGCGGUAAGUCGGGUGUGAAAUCUCGGAGCUUAACUCCGAAACUGCAUUCGAUACUGCCGUGCUUGAGGACUGGAGAGGAGACUGGAAUUUACGGUGUAGCGGUGAAAUGCGUAGAUAUCGUAAGGAAGACCAGUGGCGAAGGCGGGUCUCUGGACAGUUCCUGACGCUGAGGCACGAAGGCCAGGGGGAGCAAACGGG